GAUGAACGCUAGCGGCAGGCUUAACACAUGCAAGUCGAGGGGCAACAUUUACAUUUGUAAGAUGGCGACCGGCGGAUGGGUGCGUAACGCGUAUACAAUCUACCUUAUAUUAAGGGAUAGCCUGAAGAAAUUCGGAUUAAUACCUUAUAAGAUAUUUAGAUUGCAUGAUUUAGAUAUUAAAGAUUUAUUGAUAUAAGAUGAGUAUGCGUUAGAUUAGUUAGUUGGUAGGGUAACGGCUUACCAAGGCGAUGAUCUAUAGGGGUCCUGAGAGGGAGAUCCCCCACACUGGUACUGAGACACGGACCAGACUCCUACGGGAGGCAGCAGUGAGGAAUAUUGGACAAUGGAGGCAACUCUGAUCCAGCCAUGUCGCGUGCAGGAAGACGGCCUUAUGGGUUGUAAACUGCUUUUAAAUAGGAAGAAAUAUAGCUAUGUAUAGUUAUUUGACGGUACUAUAAGAAUAAGCAUCGGCUAACUCCG
rnacentral:rRNA from 1 species